GACCGAAUGGCGUAGUGGUUAGUGACCCCGGGACCAUCAGCUCAGUAGGAGCUGAUGGUCCCGGGUUCGAUUCCCGGCUGGGGCA
rnacentral:tRNA from 1 species